GGGCCCGUAGCUCAGUUGGUAGAGCGUUGGCUUUGCAAGCCAGAGGUCCCGGGUUCAAAUCCCGGCGGGUCCA
rnacentral:tRNA from 1 species